rnacentral:rRNA from 1 species
AGCGAACGCUGGCGGCAGGCCUAACACAUGCAAGUCGAACGGAUCCUUCGGGAUUUGUGGCGGACGGGUGAGUAACACGUGGGAACGUGCCCUUUGGUUCGGAACAACUCAGGGAAACUUGAGCUAAUACCGGAUGUGCCCUUCGGGGGAAAGAUUUAUCGCCAUUGGAGCGGCCCGCGUCUGAUUAGCUAGUUGGUGAGGUAACGGCCCACCAAGGCGACGAUCAGUAGCUGGUCUGAGAGGAUGAUCAGCCACACUGGGACUGAGACACGGCCCAGACUCCUACGGGAGGCAGCAGUGGGGAAUCGUGCGCAAUGGGCGAAAGCCUGACGCAGCCAUGCCGCGUGAAUGAUGAAGGUCUUAGGAUUGUAAAAUUCUUUCAGCGGGGACGAUAAUGACGGUACCCGCAGAAGAAGCUCCGGCUAACUUCGUG